GUUGCUCCAGACGAUCCAAAGACUCUCAAUUUAGUUUGGAGUCGGUAGUGUGAUACUAAUGACACACUUCCUUGGGAUGAACUUGCUCUAUUUAUGUCAAAAAUUUACUUCGUUGGGCUAUUUUUCAACUGAAGACUCUCUGUUGGUCGUCUUAGCUUCUUUUUCGAUUAUUAGUCUUGUGUUUCCUUUAGUAAUAAAAAAAAUGGGAGUCAUUGCUCAGUGAAUAUUUAUGAUGAACAAAUUUUUCAUUGGUUUGUUCCUUUAAAAAUACAAACAAUAUCUCGGGAUGAUUUGUCAAUCUCAGAUCAACCAUUAGAUCUUGACUCUUAGCAUAAGCAGUGGAAACUUUGAUUAUUUAAAGUGUUAAAUAUUUCCCUGCUGUUUCCUGAAAAAUAACAUUGCUCAAGCCAUAGUUUUUCUGGGAGAAUAAGUUUACCAAAAUCAACAUGAGUUAAAUUGAAAAAAAAUGUAUUUCAACGGCAAAUGAUGCUAACUUACCUAUCCAUUUUGUUGUAUAAAUCUUUCCACUGUCUCUUGUACCUAGAACUUGCAAGCUUUUAAAGAGAAGUUUCUUAAAAAAAUAACUGUGCAGCACACAGAAAAUAUUUUCUUGAGUAGUAUGGGGAUUUUUAGGAGUGCAAAGCUCAAACCAACCAACAUGGAAAGCACUAAUUGCUUAUUUUUUAAAUAAAAAAAUGUCAACAUCCUCAUUGUAUUCAGCUUGCUGUCAAGUGAUCUUCUUGCUUCUCAGAUAACCAAAUUCUACCUCUUGAGUUCUAGGCAGGAGCUUUGAUCUUUUGAUCUCUUCCAUUUUAUAUCUAUGAAAAAAAGAAAAAAAAAUAAAUUGACUCUAUUUUUUGUGUGCAAUGAACAACAGAAUUAUUGACUUAUCCAGUCUCAUGCUAUUUGAUUUCAGCUUCCGUAUCAGCAACAAUUGGAUAUUGUUAAAUAUUCUGGCUCUUAAUGAAUUGGCAACCUUGUUACUUUGUGUAGCAAUGCAUAACUUUUCAUUAGCAUUCAUAGCUUCAACAAUAUAUGUUUUACCAGCAAUCCUGAUCGACUCGAAGAAGAAUAGCUUUUAUAAAAAGACGCUGUGGCUUCUCCUGCAUCCUCUGCUUCUCCUUUUUUGGGCUGUUUUAUUUUAUACUGGCUUUACUUUCAUGGAUUUGAGCUACCUGACAAUUUUGAAGAGAGCAGUGAGUGCUACCAAAACAACAUUAUUUUUUUAAGCGUAGUAGACACCUUUGUUUACGGUAGUUGGCCUUUCACAGUGGCGACAAGCAUACUCCUACCCAAUUGGUUGAUGUUUUGGUGGGUGCUUAUUUUCUCAGAAUCUAGAGACUGUACAGAUCAAGCAUCAAAAGUAACCAAAGACAAGAGUAAAAAUAAAGCCAGGACGAGUGAUUCGAAGAAAGAUCAGUGAGAGAUUUUUUCAUUAAUUUCUAGUCGCAGAAAUGAAGCAAAGAACAUGUUAAAAAAUCAUCCGUCCGCUAAAUCGACUGCCUAAAUAGUUUGUAUCAUGAAGCUGCAGAUUUCCUCUCACAUUCUGAACUUUUGAAGGAUGACAGGUUUUCAUUGUAAAAUCUUUGUAUGAUAAACUAAGAAAAACUUUGUUUGUCAAGAAUAUUCUCCAAAAAAUUGUUAUAAAAAAGCCCUGUCAGUAAGAAAUCUUCUCUUUCCCUUGGGAAAAUCAAUAGAAGUACAAAUUUGAAAAUCCCAAUAGAGGUGUUUGUUUUUGUGCUUAUACUAUCGAUAUAUUUUUUAGUAUUUUACUUUCAGUAAGUAAGGCAGGUAUUCUUAAAUUUUUGAAUUUUAACAAAAAAAUCUGAAAAUUUAACAAUGUUCCUUUAGUCUACUGCAUAGGUGACCAUGUUAUUUAAGUUUUGUAUCAAGUAAUAUGUUUUAGUACUUUUUUAAGUUUUAGGUAUGAAAUCAUUCAUGUUUUUAGAAAUGCAUUUCUACUUUUCACGCUCACAUCAGAAAUUGAUGGAUCAAAAAAUUUAGUCAUUAACUUCUUAUAUUAACUGGGUAGUCCAUGUAAAUCAUAAUAAAUUUUCAGGUAAAAAUAUUUCCAAAGAAUUGCUUUUUUAGCAGUUUCUUUAAAUGAAAGAUAUCAUUCCAACAGAAGUUGAAAUGCAAUUUUUUUAGGAAGUCAAACUAUUUACUUUAUUGGUCUCAAUAAAAACUCAAUUCAUUUUCACUUAUUCUGACUGUUUCUUUCCCGAAUGACAGCACUAGGACUAAAUGCGAGUGUGUAAUGAUCCAGUGUAUAGGAGUAUUACUCAAUCACCCGGAAAAACGUCUCAUGUACUUACAGAGACAAACCAAAGUUAGACUUUCAGUCUGAGAGGACAACAAGAGAAGGGGGGUAGCGAUUGACUGGUCCAGGCGGCUAGGGGCCUUCUAUAAUCUUUGGUUGAAAGAGCACCUCUCUGCAGUUUAUGGGGUCUCACUCAGCACUUUUUUAGAAACCUGGCAGCCUCUUAUGAACCUUCCCUCUUUAACUUGAGGAGCUUGGAGGAUAAGGCGCACAAGUGCAGUUUUAGCCUUUAUGAACCUUUUCCUCCUUAACUUAAGUAGCUUGGAGGAUAAGGCGCACAAGUGCAGUUUUCGCUAUGCGCGAGAAUCACCUGUUCGAAGUUUCAAAAUUACAUGGAUCCUUAUGGAAGAAAAAAAAUUUGAACUCACUUUUUGAUGUCUAAAAAUUGGAGUGCAGGAGUGAAUUUUUCUUAGAAUAUAUUUCAAGACUAGUUUUAGUUGAAAUCGUUAUUGCCUCAAUUUCUUAAAAACUGCACUUAUUCACUCAGCCCUCCAAGCUCCUCAUUUUAGAAGGGGCCCUUAAUCUUCUUUUUAGAGGGGUCUGCUCUCCAGAAAAUUCAGAGCGAAUUUCCAAAUGAGGAGGGGAGGGGGGCUCUGUAAGACUUAUUUAAUUUGAGGAACUUGCCCUUUGCCAUUUAUUACAUGACAUCCAUUUUGUGUGCUUUAGUCAUGAAAUAAUAUGUCGUCAAAAAAAUUUAGAAAUAGAGCAUAAUGUACAAUAAUUUACAAAAGGAAACGUGCCGUAUUUACCCGCGUAACGUACGCACCCCAAUUUUGAGGUCCUUUGAAAAAAAAAAAAUCGGGUUUGCAUCUUGGGGCAAUACCCGCGUAUCGUACGCACCCUCAAUUUGAGAGCUGGAAUUUGAAAAAAAGGUGCGUACGAUACGCGGGUAAAUACGGUAUGUUACCUGAUUUUUAGUUUAAUAUCUUAAUGUGAGAAUGUAGUACAUUCUUUUAAUUUUCCAAGGAAGGAAGUCAGUUUAAAAAAAAUAUUUGCGGAAAUAAUAUUGAUCCAACCAUAAAAUAGUAACUAAUGACGAUUUAAGUCCCAAUGCUGAAGUACAUGAGCAUGUCCUUUGACCUCAGCCACUGACAGAGUUGUAAUUGAAAGUUGAAUCCAUGGUAUCAAGUGAGCUUAUUUCAAGCAGAUGGCCAUGGUUCUUGUAUUCAUUUAGAAAGUUACGGGAGGGCAGGAAAAUGACCAAAAAGUUGAUGUAAAUUAACAGUAUAAUAAUAAAAUAUAUGACAAAUACAAAUAUGAUCAAAGUGGAAACAAGUUAUGAAGAGAGGGGAAAAAUAUACAAUUUGCAACUUGCUACAAACAGUUCAAAAAGAAGAACAGUUGAUAUGCACAAGUGAUAACAUAUGUAACAAAGUGGACCUGUGAGCAUGUGGAAUUACUUUAUUAAAAUUAAAGGACUGGCACAAAAAAUCUAAAAGCUAUGAACAGUCUCAACAAAAAUACGGACACUUUCAGGGUCCAUAUCUGGAUAAAUCCAUGACCUAAAUUUGCAAUAUACCUACUUUUGCCAAACUUACUAACCAUUUCUUUAACAAGGUUCGGCAAAUUUUUUGCUACUGUACAGAGCACAAGGAUCUAAGUUUCCUUGCAAAGUGACUUUAUUCCCAGCUGCUUGCCUAGCAACAGAAGGAUCUAUUGUCCAGUCAAUACCAACGAUGUCAUAACCACUAUCUGAAAGGUCUGAAUACAAUAAUGUGCACCCUUUGCAAAUAUUGUCAUGGUACAUCAAUGUUAAGAGCCUUUAGCUUGGAUUUUACAGUUUUUGCAAUGGAACUGAUGUAAGGGAGGGCAAUUUUUUUAAACAUCUCUGGGCCCCAAUAUUCUGCAUUUGACUCAAAUACUUGAAGCAAUUGGGCGCCUGAAGAAGCUUGUCCUACUAGGUAAUCAAUAACAACUACACUUAAAAUGUUAAGAAGGGUAUGGCUCUCAGCUGGAUAUUGUAAGCCAGUGUUUGGCUUUUGACAUAGUUUUUGAACCACCUCCUUCAAUCAUGUAGCACAUAAAGUCCAUGGUGCCCCUGAAAAUCCUAUGAGGGGUACUUUGCCAUUCAGUCGGUGCCUUGUAAGGGUGAUGGCUUCAAAGACAUAGUUCAGAGUUGAAUGCACAUCUACUGGAGUUUUAAGGUUGAAAUAUCGUCUGGUUUGAUCAAAGGCUCGGGUAAAACAGGGCCAAACUCCUGGUUUCAUUUCAACAGUCAUUCCUAAGGCUUGUGGGUAUAACAAGAAUAUCGGAGAAUAUGAUGGCAGCAUCCAAGUCAAAUCUAUCAAUUGGCUGAAGAGUGAUUUCAGCUGCAAGGGUCGGUGUUUGACAUAUUGUAAAAAAAUCAUGUUUGGACCUGAGCUCACGAAUUCAGGUAAAUAUCUUCCGGCUUGGCGCAUGACCCACACAGGAAUUCUAUCCACUUCCUCACCUUGGCUGCUCUCAACAGUCUGUCAUUUUCCAAGAUAGGGAAGUUCAUUAUAUCAACGGACCGAAAGAAUUUAUACAAUUAAACACUGCGGUAAGUAGAGAUAAACCCUAUCAUGACAUUCGAAAUUCAAAAUUACGAAAAACUUAAAACUUCCGUGCCGGAAGCAUAACCUCUAAAAAUAAACAAAGCUUAACAAGUUACACAUUUCGUAUUCUGCCAAGUUGCUGAUUUAAUAUCAAACCAAAAUGUAAUCUUUGAUGGCAACUAAUUGCCAAUUGAAAGCAAUUGGAAACUAGAGUAUGACUAGU
rnacentral:lncRNA from 1 species